AACAAACGCUGGCGGCGUGCCUAACACAUGCAAGUCGAACGGUAACAGGCCUUCGGGCGCUGACGAGUGGCGGACGGGUGAGUAACGCGUAGGAAUCUGCCUCAUAGUGGGGGACAACGUGGGGAAACUCACGCUAAUACCGCAUACGCCCUACGGGGGAAAGCGGGGGACCUUCGGGCCUCGCGCUAUGAGAUGAGCCUGCGUUAGAUUAGCUAGUUGGUAGGGUAAAGGCCUACCAAGGCGACGAUCUAUAGCUGGUCUGAGAGGACGAUCAGCCACACUGGGACUGAGACACGGCCCAGACUCCUACGGGAGGCUG
rnacentral:rRNA from 1 species